AUAAAAGUGCACAAUGACGUCAUAAUGUAACCAGCAGUAUCAAAGAAAGUUUAUUUUUGAUAACAACAUCACUAGGGUGGAAAUCUUGAGAAUCAUGUGUGUAAAACUAAUUACGUCACUGCUUUAUGCGUAAACUUUCACCCAGAAAUCUUUGUGGUCAACUGACAAAAGAAACAAAGAAGGUGGUCAUGCUAUAUUUAGCCACACAUUGUUUGGGAAACCCCUCUUGUCGUCCAGUGCAAUACUUUUAAAACUUAUUAUUCUAGAGUUAAUUAUUGAAAGAUUAUGAGUGGAGUCGAUUAAUUUGUAGUUAUUUAUUGCAAAUAAAUGUGAAAAUAACUAAA